rnacentral:rRNA from 1 species
UCGAGGAUCUUCGGCAAUGAGCGCAAGCUUGACCGAGCGACGCCGCGUGUGCGAUGAAGGCCUUCGGGUUGUAAAGCACUGUCGAGGGGGAGGAAAGCCGCAAGGCCUGACCUAUCCCUGGAGGAAGCACGGGCUAAGUUCGUGCCAGCAGCCGCGGUAAGACGAACCGUGCGAACGUUGUUCGGAAUCACUGGGCUUAAAGGGCGCGUAGGCGGGUGGCAAAGUCAGGGGUGAAAUCUUUCGGCCCAACCGGAAAAGGGCCCCUGAUACUGGCCGUCUCGAGGGAGGUAGGGGUUGGUGGAACUUCCGGUGGAGCGGUGAAAUGCGUAGAUAUCGGAAGGAACGCCGGUGGCGAAAGCGGCCAACUGGACCUCUUCUGACGCUGAUGCGCGAAAGCUAGGGGAGCGAACGGGAUUAGAUACCCCCGUAGUCC